CAUUUAAUUAGAGCCUCAAACGCUCACACUCUCCCUUUACCUAAACCUCACACUCUCCCCACGCUUACCCCCUUCUCCUCGGCGAGCUCCUCGCCGGCGAGGCCCCUUCUCCUCGGCGAGCUCCUCACCGGUGAGUCCUCGAUGGCGAGCUCAUAGGCAACGAGCAACUCCCCGCCAAUCCCUUUUACGACGAGCCCUUUAGCACGGAUCUCCUCGCCGUUGAUCUCCUCUUUGUCGUUCUCCUUGCGGGUGAGUCCUUCGCCGCAGAUCUCCUCGCCGCCAAGAUUCUCAUUGCCGAUCUCCUCUCUGACGAGCUCUCCACGGUCCCGAUUUCUAAUCGAAGAAAAAUCUGUAAAAAAAAAGCAAAAAUAUCAUCUACUGCUGCUAAAUUUUGCUUUGUAUGAAGAGAAGCACAAGGAAAUGAAUUGCUGUUGAAAUAGGAGCUGAAACAUUUUUUUUAUCGUUUUUAAGUAUUUUCUAUUUUCAAAGUUGAGAGAGGCAGGAAUGAUGUUGAACUGUAUAUCGAAUAUUAUUACUCUAUUGCUUUUAAAUUGAUUUUGCUAUUAUUUUAUUUUUAAGAUGUUGUGGAUCAGAAGACAAUUAGCCUUUUAAAUUGUUGUUAAAAGAAUAA